GAUGAACGCUGGCGGCGUGCCUAACACAUGCAAGUCGAGCGAGAUGCUUCUGACGGAUUCUCCGGAUGACGGAUGAAGCGGAAAGCGGCGGACGGGUGAGUAACGCGUAGGCAACCUGCCUCUCACAGAGGGAUAGCCACUGGAAACGGUGAUUAAAACCUCAUAACGCCACUAAGAGACAUCUCCUGGUGGCCAAAGAUUUAUCGGUGAGAGAUGGGCCUGCGUCUGAUUAGCUGGUUGGCGGGGUAACGGCCCACCAAGGCGACGAUCAGUAGCCGACCUGAGAGGGUGAUCGGCCACAUUGGAACUGAGACACGGCCCAA
rnacentral:rRNA from 1 species